rnacentral:rRNA from 1 species
UACGUAGGGCGCAAGCGUUAUCCGGAAUUAUUGGGCGUAAAGAGCUCGUAGGCGGUUUGUCGCGUCUGCCGUGAAAGUCCGGGGCUUAACCCCGGAUCUGCGGUGGGUACGGGCAGACUAGAGUGAUGUAGGGGAGACUGGAAUUCCUGGUGUAGCGGUGAAAUGCGCAGAUAUCAGGAGGAACACCGAUGGCGAAGGCAGGUCUCUGGGCAUUAACUGACGCUGAGGAGCGAAAAGCAUGGGGGAGCGAACAGG